CCGCAUCUGUGCAUGCAGCAUAUCAAUAAGCGGAGGAAAAGAAACUAACAAGGAUUCCCUUCAGUAACGGCGAGCUGAAGCGGGAAGAGCUCAAAUUUGAAAUCUUGAAAGGUCACCUUUCACGAAUUGUAGUUUAAAGAAGUGUUUUCUGUUACGAUCGUAAUAUAAGUUCUUUGGAAUAGGACAUCACUAGAGGGUGAGAAUCCCGUCUAUUUGACCAUUAUUUUAGCUUUGUGAUACACUUUCAAAGAGUCGGAUUGUUUGGGAAUGCAGUCCCAAAACUGGGAUGGUAAAUUUCUUCUAAGGCUAAAUAUUGGCGAGAGACCGAUAGCGAACAAGUACCGUGAGGGAAAGAUGAAAAGAACUUUGAAAAGAGAGUUAAAUAGUACGUGAAAUUGUCAAAAGGGAAGCGUUUAACACCAGUGUUGUUUUCUGAAAAUCAACCUCUGUUAGCUUUAUGCAUGUUUGUUUAGACCUAAUCAGCUAUCUUGCAUGUUCUAUUGUUUGCAGUGGUGCACUUUUCAGUUUACAGGUCAACAUCAGUUUUUUUUACCGUAAAAAAGUUAAAGAAAGGUAGCUCAUGGCUCCGGUCGUGAGUGUUAUAGUCUUUUUCCUAUGCGGUAGGAGAGACUGAGGUCUGCAGUGUAGGCUAUUUGGCUAGAUACUCAGGUGCUAUGUGAUACCAUUUCAUAAACAACUUGUUGAUUAUGUUUUGUCUAUUGCAUACUCGCUUGUACUAUCAUACCUACGCUUAGGAUGUUGACGAUCAGCUGAGCGCG
rnacentral:rRNA from 1 species